UACGUAGGGUGCAAGCGUUGUCCGGAAUUAUUGGGCGUAAAGAGCUCGUAGGCGGUCUGUCACGUCGGCUGUGAAAUCUCCGGGCUUAACCCGGAAAGGUCAAUCGAUACUGCAGGGCUAGAGUGCAGAAGGGGCAACUGGAAUUCUCGGUGUAGCGGUGAAAUGCGUAGAUAUCGAGAGGAACACCUGCGGCGAAGGCGGGUUGCUGGGCUGACACUGACGCUGAAGCGCGAAAGCUAGGGGAGCGAACGGG
rnacentral:rRNA from 1 species